UGCUCACCCUUUUCUUUUUCUCCCAUUCUCUCUGGAACAUCUUUUUUACGUUCCUCGCAGGGUUGUUUUGCCUUUCUUUGCCCCAAAUUUCCAACCUCUUCUUGUGAAAACGAGCCCCCAUUGACCGUGGUUGGCGUGCCGAUGGUCCCGAGGAGUGCGGGAUUUAAACUGAGUUUCUUUUUUUUUUCUUUCUUUCUUUUUUUCCCCCCCAUUCUCCUUUCAAUCAAUCCCCCGGAGGAAUUGUCUGUAAAUUGGUAUUUAUUACGGGCUGUCAAUGGAUGCGCCCGAUAUUUCCCCGUGUCCUG
rnacentral:sRNA from 2 species